rnacentral:rRNA from 1 species
CUACGGGGGGCUGCAGUGGGGAAUAUUGGACAAUGGGGGAAACCCUGAUCCAGCAAUGCCGCGUGUGUGAAGAAGGCCUGCGGGUUGUAAAGCACUUUCGGUUGGGAGGACUGCUUCUAGCACUAAUAUUGUUGGAAGUUGACGUUACCUUCAGAAGAAGCACCGGCUAACUCCGUGCCAGCAGCCGCGGUAAUACGUGAGGGUGCAAGCGUUAAUCGGAAUUACUGGGCGUAAAGCGCGCGUAGGCGGCUAGAUCAGUCGGGUGUGAAAGCCCCGGGCUUAACCUGGGAACUGCAUCCGAUACUGUCUAGCUUGAGUACAGGAGAGGAGAGUGGAAUUCCACAUGUAGCGGUGAAAUGCGUAGAUAUGUGGAGGAACACCAAUGGCGAAGGCAGCUCUCUGGCCUGAUACUGACGCUGAGGUGCGAAAGCGUGGGGAGCAAACAGGAUUAGAUACCCGUGUAGUC